rnacentral:rRNA from 1 species
GACGAACGCUGGCGGCGUGCUUAACACAUGCAAGUCGAACGGAAAGGCCCUGCUUUUGUGGGGUGCUCGAGUGGCGAACGGGUGAGUAACACGUGAGUAACCUGCCCUUGACUUUGGGAUAACUUCAGGAAACUGGGGCUAAUACCGGAUAUGAGCUCCUGCUGCAUGGUGGGGGUUGGAAAGUUUCGGCGGUGGGAGCUGGACUCGCGGCUUAUCAGCUUGUUGGUGGGGUAGUGGUUUACCAAGGGUUUGACGGGUAGCCGGCCUGAGAGGGUGACCGGGCUCCUGGGGACUGAGAGACGCAGCAGACUCCUACGGGAGGCAGCAGUGGGGAAUAUUGCACAAUGGGCGGAAGCCUGAUACAGCGACGCCGCGUGCGGGAUGACGGCCUUCGGGUUGUAAACCGCUUUCGCCUGAGACGAAGCGUGAGUGACGGUAAUGGGUAAAGAAGCACCGGCUAACUACGUG